UACAGAGGAUGCAAGCGUUAUCCGGAAUGAUUGGGCGUAAAGCGUCUGUAGGUGGCUUUUUAAGUCCGCCGUCAAAUCCCAGGGCUCAACUCUGGACAGGCGGUGGAAACUACCAAGCUGGAGUACGGUAGGGGCAGAGGGAAUUUCCGGUGGAGCGGUGAAAUGCGUAGAGAUCGGGAAGAACACCAGUGGCGAAGGCGGCCGGCUGGGGGCGCCCUGACGCUGAGGCGCGAGAGCGUGGGGAGCAAACCGG
rnacentral:rRNA from 1 species